GGGUGCGAUCAUACCAGCACUAAAGCACCGGAUCCCAUCAGAACUCCGCAGUUAAGCGUGCUUGGGCGAGAGUAGUACUGGGAUGGGUGACCUCCUGGGAUGCUUCAAAAAAAAAACAUACA
rnacentral:rRNA from 1 species